GGUUGGGGAGAUCAAAGAAUGCUUGAAUAUUUGGCGGGUCAGUUUCAACUCCGAUCCACUAGGGGGCGCGAAGAGACUGCUAGCGCGGGGUCCAUCCGGGGAUUCGCCGCUCUAGGCCCUAGCUCGUCUCUCAACUGCAGUUCCGCCAGCGCCCGACAGAUGGAGGGUGGGUCCUGUCUCCGAGUCGCCGGGAACCGUCCAGCAUCUUCUCACGUCGUCCAGUUUGACCUGCAGCCGACAUUCCUGGCGCCCCGGAGGAAGCAGCACGGUGCACAGGGGUCCCUGAGAGGUGUCCCCAUCCUGUCAAGAGACAGCUGGCCCAGACGAGUCCACUGCGUGCAGAGGCGUCAUGGAAGCUGUCAUGUCAGGAGCAUUCUAGACCGUGCUGUCCUUGAGAUGUUGGCUUGAAGAAAGGCAAGGUAACAUCGGAGAGCAAACCCUUGUCGUGACCUCCUGCCCUGUUGACCUCCCCAUCAUGCUGGGGGUGCUGCCUUGGAGGACACCUCGGGGAUGGGAACACUGGCCUCUCAGGAUGGUGACCCGGGUUCCAGCUUCCCUGGAGGAGCCUCCUCAUGUCACUCGGUCAUGUCCAACUCUUCGCAAGCCCAUGGACUGCAGCACACCAGGCGUCCCUGUCCUUUCACCAUCUCCUGGAGCUUGCUCAAACUCAUGUUCAUUGAAUCAGUGAUGCCGUCCAACCAUCUCAUCCUCUGUCGUCCCCCUCUCCUCCUGCCCUCAAUCUUUCCCAGGAUGAGGGUCUUUUCCACUAAGUUGCCUCUUCGCAUCAGGUGGCCAAAGUACUAGGAUCCAAUCCAGAAUACCAUAUUAUAU
ensembl:lncRNA